ensembl:snRNA U6 U6 spliceosomal RNA
GUGCUCACUUCGACAGCAUGUAUACUAAAAUUAGAACCAUACAGAGAAGAUUAGCGUGGCCCCAGUGCAAGGAUGACACGUAAAUUCAUGAAGUGUUCCAUAUUUUA